AGAGUUUGAUCCUGGCUCAGGAUGAACGCUAGCGACAGGCUUAACACAUGCAAGUCGAGGGGCAGCACAGGUAGCAAUACCGGGUGGCGACCGGCGCACGGGUGAGUAACGCGUAUGCAACUUGCCUAUCAGAGGGGGAUAACCCGGCGAAAGUCGGACUAAUACCGCAUGAAGCAGGGAUCCCGCAUGGGAAUAUUUGCUAAAGAUUCAUCGCUGAUAGAUAGGCAUGCGUUCCAUUAGGCAGUUGGCGGGGUAACGGCCCACCAAACCGACGAUGGAUAGGGGUUCUGAGAGGAAGGUCCCCCACAUUGGUACUGAGACACGGACCAAACUCCUACGGGAGGCAGCAGUGAGGAAUAUUGGUCAAUGGCCGAGAGGCUGAACCAGCCAAGUCGCGUGAGGGAUGAAGGUUCUAUGGAUCGUAAACCUCUUUUAUAAGGGAAUAAAGUGCGGGACGUGUCCCGUUUUGUAUGUACCUUAUGAAUAAGGAUCGGCUAACUCCGUGCCAGCAGCCGCGGUAAUACGGAGGAUCCGAGCGUUAUCCGGAUUUAUUGGGUUUAAAGGGUGCGUAGGCGGCCUUUUAAGUCAGCGGUGAAAGUCUGUGGCUCAACCAUAGAAUUGCCGUUGAAACUGGGAGGCUUGAGUAUGUUUGAGGCAGGCGGAAUGCGUGGUGUAGCGGUGAAAUGCAUAGAUAUCACGCAGAACCCCGAUUGCGAAGGCAGCCUGCCAAGCCAUUACUGACGCUGAUGCACGAAAGCGUGGGGAUCAAACAGGAUUAGAUACCCUGGUAGUCCACGCAGUAAACGAUGAUCACUAGCUGUUUGCGAUACACUGUAAGCGGCACAGCGAAAGCGUUAAGUGAUCCACCUGGGGAGUACGCCGGCAACGGUGAAACUCAAAGGAAUUGACGGGGGCCCGCACAAGCGGAGGAACAUGUGGUUUAA
rnacentral:rRNA from 1 species